AGAGUUUGAUCCUGGCUCAGAGUGAACGCUAGUAGUAUGUUUAACACAUGCGAGUUGUACGAAUAUCGUAGCGAACGGGUGAAAAUAUACAAAAUUAUACCUUUUAGUACGAGGAUAAUACGUCUCUUCUUAACUUUUUAAUAAGUUGUCUUAUUAAUUUUUGUUUUUGAAAAAAAUCUUUUUAGAUAAACGUAAAUACCGUAUAAUAAAAAGUACAAAAAUACUGCUAUUAGAUUGUUUUGUAGAAGAUUAGGUAGUUGGUAAUUUAAAAGCUUACCAAGCCUACGAUCUUUAGUUGGUCUUAGAGGACGAUCAACGACACUGGAACUGAGACAAGGUCCAGGCUAAUAUAAAUGCCAGCAGUGAAGAAUCUUGGACAAUGAACGAAAGUUUGAUCCAGCAAUACUACUUGAAUGAAGAAGGCAAAUUUGUUGUAAAAUUCUAAUCAUGAUAAAGAUAAUGACAGUAAUCAUGACUCAAAUAAGUCCCGGCUAAUCUCGUGCCAGCAGCCGCGGUAAUACGGGAGGGGCUAGCGUUAUUCAGAAUAAUUGGGCGUAAAGAGUUCGUAGACGGUGUUGUAAGUUAUAUUGUUAAAGACUAAAGCCUAACUUUAAGUUUAUCGUAUAAUACUACUUCACUAGAGUUUUCUUCGGAAGAAUAGAAUUUUAGAUAUAGAGGUAGCACUUGCAGACAUCUAGAGGAAUACCAAUUUUAGCGAAAGCGAUUCUUUAGUACAAACUGACGUUGAGGGACGAAAGUAUAGGGAGCAAACAGGAUUAGAUACCCUGGUAGUCUAUACCGUAAAUUAUGAGUGCUGUAAUUUAAUAGACAUUUUUACAUUUUUAUUGGAUUUUUAAGCUAACGCUAUAAGCACUCCGCCUGAGAAGUAUAACCGCAAGGUUGAAACUCAAAGGAAUUGACGGGAGCCUACUACUAGUGGUGGAGUAUGUGGUUUAAUUCGAUAAUCCGCGCAAAACCUUACCAAUUUUUGAAUAGAUAAAAAGAUUUCAGAAACGCAAGUGUUUCAAAAAGACUUCUUAUAUCUACAGGUGUUGCACGACUGCCUCAAGCUCGUGUCGUGAGAUGUUUGGUUAAUUCCUUUAACGAGCGAAACUCUUAUUUUUAACGAAUCUGUUUUUGAUUUAACCCGAAAAUAGUUUUUUAAAAAAAAUGCUAAUGAUAAAUUAGAGGAAGAUAAGAAAGAAGUCAAGUCACUGUGGCCCUUAUAAAUUGGGCUACUCACAUGCUACAAUGAUAAUUACAAAAAGUAACUAAAAUGCAAGUUUAAGUUAAUCUAUCAAAAGUUUUCUUAGUUCGGAUUGUAAUCUGAAACUCGGUUACAUGAAGGUGGAAUCGCUAGUAAUCGCAAAUCAGCACGUUGCGGUGGAUAUGUUAUUUGGCUUUGUACACACCGCCCGUCACAUGCAAAAAGUUUUUAUAUCCUGAAAAAGUUUUUAUUGUUUUAAGAACUUUGAAUAAUACAUAAACAAUUUGGAUGAAGUCGUAACAAGGUAACC
rnacentral:rRNA from 1 species